CCGUACGCGGGAAGCCCUGCCACGCGGUCCAUGCCCACGGCCGCCCACGACCGCGCCAAGCCAAUGGCGAGACCGACCCACCGGGCUG
rnacentral:ncRNA from 1 species